rnacentral:rRNA from 1 species
GAUGAACGCUAGCGGCAGGCUUAAUACAUGCAAGUCGAGGGGCAGCAGGUCUGUAGCAAUACAGAUGCUGGCGACCGGCAAACGGGUGCGGAACACGUACAGAACCUUCCUUCGAGCGGGGAAUAGCCCAGAGAAAUUUGGAUUAAUACCCCGUAGUACAUUGAAGAGGCAUCUCUUUAAUAUUAAAGAUUUAUCACUUGAAGAUGGCUGUGCGGCUGAUAGGUAGUUGGCGGGGUAACGGCCCACCAAGCCUACGAUCAGUAACUGGUGUGAGAGCACGACCAGUCACACGGGCACUGAGACACGGGCCCGACUCCUACGGGAGGCAGCAGUAAGGAAUAUUGGUCAAUGGACGCAAGUCUGAACCAGCCAUGCCGCGUGGAGGAUGAAGGUCCUCUGGAUUGUAAACUUCUUUUAUAUGGGACGAAAAAGGAUCUUUCUAGAUCACCUGACGGUACCAUAUGAAUAAGCACCGGCUAACUCCGUGCCAGCC